CCCGGUGAUAUAUUAAACGGCCGCAGUUAGGAGCUGUGCUAAGGUAGCGUAGUAAGUUGUCCUUUAAAUGGGGAAAGGAAUGAAUGGUUUGACGUGAGAAUAACUGUCUCUGGAAAAAUUAGAAAAAUUUUCUUCCUGGUGAAAAGCCCAGGAUGGUAAUAAAAGACGAGAAGACCCUUUCGAGCUUGAUUAAGGAGUAGAUUUUUUUAUGGCUGAAGUUUGGUUGGGGCAACUUAGGAGCAAGAAGAGACUCCUUGAGGAUUAAUAGGGAUCCAAAUAUUUUGAAAAAAAGAAAAAGCUACCGUAGGGAUAACAGCGUAUCUUUUC
rnacentral:rRNA from 1 species